rnacentral:rRNA from 1 species
CCUACGGGAGGCAGCAGUGAGGAAUAUUGGUCAAUGGACGCAAGUCUGAACCAGCCAUGCCGCGUGCAGGAAGACGGCUCUAUGAGUUGUAAACUGCUUUUGUACGAGGGUAAACGCAGAUAAGUGUAUCUGUCUGAAAGUAUCGUACGAAUAAGGAUCGGCAAACUCCGUGCUAGAAGCCGCGGUAAUACGGAGGAUUCAAGCGUUAUCCGGCUGUAUUGGGUUUAAAGGGUGCGUAGGCGGUCGGAUAAGUUAGAGGUGAAAUCCCGAGGCUCAACUUCGGAAUUGCCUCUGAUACGGUUCGGCUAGAGAGUAGUUGCGGUAGGCGGAAUGUAUGGUUGAGCUGUGAAAUGCUUAGAGAUCAUACAGAACACCGAUUGCGAAGGCAGCUUACCAAGCUACUUCUGACGUUGAGGCACGAAAGCGUGGGGAGCAAACAGGAUUAGAUACCCGGGUAGUC